GACGAAGGGAGCAAGCGUUAUCCGGAUUGAUUUGGCGUAAAGGGUCCGUAGGCAGCUUUGGGUAGUCAGAAGUUAAAUAUUAAAGCUCAACUUUAAAAUUGCUUUUAAAAAAAACAUCAAAGCUUAGAGUUUGAAAGAGGAUAGCAGAAUUUCAUAUGGAGGGGUGAAAUCCUAAGAUAUAUGAAGGAAUACCAAUGGCGAAGGCAGCUAUCUGGGUCAAAACUGACGCUGAGGGACGAAAGCACGGGGAGCAAAAAGGAUUUGAUACCCUUGUAGUCCGUGCCGUAAACGAUGAGUGCUCGUGCUCAGACAAAAGAUUUGGGCACUUAGGUAACCCAUUAAGCACUCCGCCUGGGAAGUACGAUCGCAAGAUUGGAACUCAAAGGAAUUGGCGGGGGUUCAUACAAGUGGUGGAACAUGUGGUUUAAUGCGAUAAUCCGCGCGAAACCUUACCAGUUCUAGACGUUUUCUAAACUUUUAUUAAGUGUUAGAAAAUCAGGUGUUGCAUGGCUGUCGUCAGCUCGUGUUGUGAGAUGUUUGGUUAAGUCCUUUAACGAGCGCCACCCUUAUACUUAGUUGAUUUUACACUCUAAGUAGACUGCUCGCAUUAUUCGCGAGAGGAAGGCAAGGAUGACGUCAAGUCCUCAUGGCCCUUAUGAACUGGGCUACACACGUGUUACAAUGGUAAGAACAAUGAGAAGCGACCCUGCAAAAGUGAGCAAAUCUAAAAAUCUUAUCUUAGUUCGAAUUGUGGGCUGAAACUCGCCCACAUGAAGUUGGAAUCACUAGUAAUCGCAAAUCAUCACGUUGCGGUGAAUAUGUACCUGAACCU
rnacentral:rRNA from 1 species